rnacentral:rRNA from 1 species
AGCAGUCGCCGCGGGAAUACAGAGGGUGCAAGCGUUAAUCGGAAUUACUGGGCGUAAAGCGCGCGUAGGUGGUUUGUUAAGUUGGAUGUGAAAUCCCCGGGCUCAACCUGGGAACUGCAUCCAAAACUGGCAAGCUAGAGUAUGGUAGAGGGUGGUGGAAUUUCCUGUGUAGCGGUGAAAUGCGUAGAUAUAGGAAGGAACACCAGUGGCGAAGGCGACCACCUGGACUGAUACUGACACUGAGGUGCGAAAGCGUGGGGAGCAAACAGGAUUAGAUACCAGAGUAGUCCCUGUCUCUUAUAC